AACGAACGCUGGCGGCAGGCCUAACACAUGCAAGUCGAAGGAGAAGUUCCUCUUCGGAGGGAUGGACACUGGCGCACGGGUGAGUAACGCGUGGGAAUCUACCCCGGGGUGGGGAAUAAC
rnacentral:rRNA from 1 species